rnacentral:tRNA from 1 species
GGAUCCGUGGCGCAAUGGUAGCGCGUCUGACUGGUUGCGUGUUCGAUUCACGUCGGGUUCA